AGAACAACAUGAUGAUUCUGCUCUGAGGGAUUCUAGAACAACAUGAUGAUUCUGCUCUGAGGGAUUCUAGAACAACAUGAUGAUUCUGCUCUGAGGGAUUCUAGAACAACAUGAUGAUUCUGCUCUGAGGGAUUCUAGAACAUGAUGAUUCUGCUCUGAGGGAUUCUAGAACAACAUGAUGAUUCUGCUCUGAGGGAUUCUAGAACAACAUGAUGAUUCUGCUCUGAGGGAUUCUAGAACAUGAUGAUUCUGCUCUGAGGGAUUCUAGAACAACAUGAUGAUUCUGCUCUGAGGGAUUCUAGAACAACAUGAUGAUUCUGCUCUGAGGGAUUCUAGAACAACAUGAUGAUUCUGCUCUGAGGGAUUCUAGAACAACAUGCUGAUUCUGCUCUGAGGGAUUCUAGAACAUGAUGAUUCUGCUCUGAGGGAUUCUAGAACAUGAUGCUGAUUCUGCUCUGAGGGAUUCUAGAACAACAGGGAAUUCUGUUUCCUUCCUGUUGAUGUACUGUCAGAUGGAAACACUCUAACCCAACAUGUAGAUUCUACUCUGUGAAUGACGAGGUUUGUGGCACAGAUCAUUAUCAUGAAAUAACAGACAACAGUUCACAGUAAACACAGACUAUCAUUGUGCACAACCCUAUACAACCCUAUUACAUAGCAUCAGCAAGGUACAUAAAACACUGACACCAUCCCUUUAAGGCCGAUAGAUAGGUCAUCCCUUUAAGACCUACACACAGUUCACCCCGUAAAAGACAGACAAUAAAGGUCAACCCUGUAAGACCGACAGACAGGUCAUCCCUUUAAGACCGACAGGCAGGUCAUCCCUUUAAGACCGACAGACAGGUCAUCCCUUUAAGACUGACGGGCAGGUCAUCCCUUUAAGACCGACAGACAGGUCAUCCCUUUAAGACCGACAGACAGGUCAUCCCUUUAAGACCGACGGGCAGGUCAUCCCUUUAUGACCGACGGGCAGGUCAUCCCUUUAAGACCGACGGGCAGGUCAUCCCUUUAAGACCGACAGACAGGUCAUCCCUUUUAAGACCUCAAAUAUACAGAUGUACUGUAUAUUUGAAAAACGAGUUAAAAAAUGAUUAUUUACAAAAAUACUUUGCUGUGUAAACUUUUCAUUUUCAUUCCAACCAAAGGUUAGAGUUAGGUACUCUCUACCCCUACCCCUCUAUCCCCCUGUCUAC
rnacentral:lncRNA from 1 species